AAGUUAUUUAACGACCGCUACAACUUCAUCACUUCAAAAAAAAAAAAAAAAAUGCGCGCCACGAUGGUUGCCAAUGUUUAGGAAGAUGAUGCAGCAAUGAAGCUCAUCAUCGACCCCAAUGCAGAUAGAUUAUUAUGGUCACUGGUGUGCAUGAGGAAGUGCAAGAGGAUGAUUUGCAAACUGUAUUUCGUGAAUAUGGAAAGAUUAAGAACCUACAUUUGAACCUCGAUCGUCGCAUUGGUUAUGUCAAAACAUUAGGUUACUCAAGUGAGAUGACCAAGGCUGCCAGUUACGUUAUUCCUCCUUUAUCAGGGCUCUCAAAGGUCUUUAUCUCCAUUCGGAGGCGUCAGUUUGAGCAAGUAAAAGAAGCUGUUCCUAUGAUUCUUAAUGUAUUGAAGGCUGUGUCUUUGGAGUCAGAAGAAGCCGUUCCUUGAGGGUGUUUUUGACAGAGCUGUUGAGAUUGCAAAUUCUACAUGUGAAGUUUGCAAUAAGUUGGAGAGUGUUGCAAAGGAGAAGCUCCGAGAUCUUCUUGGUCUAUAUGUCCUGCAGUGCUUGGUAGAUUUCUCUGUACUGUAUUAAAAUUUUAUAAUUAUUCUUAUUUGUAAUUCUUUCCCAACUACUUUUUAGUAAAUUCCUUACUUAUAUAGUAUGAUUUUAUUUACUAAUAUAUGAUUUAAUAAGUUACCAUACACUGUUAAGGCUCUUGUUUCAGCCAGCUUAAGCUAUAAAGCUUCCAGUUGUCGUUCAAUGGUAUUACAACUGUCUCGAAUGUCUUCAUAUUGUGGUUUAUCAUAUCUCAAUCUAGUAACAACUGAUGAUGUCGAGACUGUGGCUAGCUCGAUUUUUGGAGGUAGUACUAUUGGGUUACUUCGUGUCUGCUGCUAAUUUAUCUCCAUGUUAACUCAAGCAUUAUUUACACCACUUUAUGUUUUUCUAUUCCCCUUCAAUUGCUCAGAAGAUAAAGAUGAUAUGGGUUAUUUAUCUUAUGUCAAACAUGGUGCUGCUCUUUCAGGUUUGUGUUAGGAUGAUUAAUGUAAUUGAAUCUCUUACGCAUUUUUCCCUAUUCCAUCAAAAAUCCAUUUUUUUCAGUGAUUUGGGGGGCAGGCCUCAAAGGAGGUUGCUCAAACUGCUAAAGAGGAUUUAGUUGCCAUCAAGGAUGAACUUCGCAAUAACCGGACCAAAAGGUGGCAAGCAAUAGGAACAUUAAAGCAUGUACUUUCCUUUGUAAAUCUGCCAUGGGAGUUAAAGAAACAUACUAUCAACUUCUUGCUUUGCAUCACAGAUGGAGUUAUAACUGGAAACACCAAUGAUGAGCAUUCUGAGUGGCUAUUAAAAUGGUUAUAAUGUAUGCCCCAGAUCCAGAACUUAGAAUAGAAGCCUUUGCUGUGCUAAAAGAAGACAUUUGGAACAAGACCUAUUAUCCGAAAGCUGCAGAUCAUGUGAUUCAUGAGAAAACAUGGUAUGUUGUUGAUGCCACUGACAAAAUUCUUGGAAGACUGGCAUCAACAAUUGCUAUUCACAUCAGAGGGAAAAAUUCAAUGACCUAUACUCCCAGUGUGGACAUGGAUGCGUUUGUAAUUGUGGUAAAUGCAGAAAAGGUUGCUGUAACUGGGGAAAACAGGACCUAAAAGCUUUAUAGGAGGCACUCAGGACGAUCUGGUGGUAUGAAAGUGGAGACAUUUUCCCAGCUACAGAACAGAAUUCCUGAACGAAUUGUUGAACAUUCUGUUCGUGGCAUGCUUCCAAAA